rnacentral:piRNA from 1 species
UCAUUGCGAGAUGGUAAUCCCAUCACAC